CCCGCACAAGCGGUGGAGCAUGUGGUUUAAUUCGAUGCAACGCGAAGAACCUUACCUGGUCUUGACAUAGUAAGAACUUUCCAGAGAUGGAUUGGUGCCUUCGGGAACUUUACAUACAGGUGCUGCAUGGCUGUCGUCAGCUCGUGUCGUGAGAUGUUGGGUUAAGUCCCGCAACGAGCGCAACCCUUGUCCUUAGUUACCAGCACGUAAUGGUGGGCACUCUAAGGAGACUGCCGGUGACAAACCGGAGGAAGGUGGGGAUGACGUCAAGUCCUCAUGGCCCUUAUAGGUGGGGCUACACACGUCAUACAAUGGCCGGUACAGAGGGUAGCCAACCCGCGAGGGGGAGCCAAUCCCACAAAGCUGGUCGUAGUCCGGAUCGCAGUCUGCAACUCGACUGCGUGAAGUCGGAAUCGCUAGUAAUCGCGGAUCAGCAUGUCGCGGUGAAUACGUUCCCGGGUCUU
rnacentral:rRNA from 1 species